AGUGGGGAAUAUUGCGCAAUGGGCGGAAGCCUGACGCAGCGACGCCGCGUGGGGGAUGACGGCCUUCGGGUUGUAAACCUCUUUCGACCGGGACGAAGAGUGAUUGACGGUACCGGUAGAAGAAGCACCGGCCAACUACGUGCCAGCAGCCGCGGUAACACGUAGGGUGCGAGCGUUGUCCGGAAUUAUUGGGCGUAAAGAGCUCGUAGGCGGUGUGUCGCGUCGGCCGUGAAAACCUGGGGCUUAACUCUGGGCUUGCGGUCGAUACGGGCAUCACUGGAGUUCGGCAGGGGAGACUGGAAUUCCUGGUGUAGCGGUGAAAUGCGCAGAUAUCAGGAGGAACACCGGUGGCGAAGGCGGGUCUCUGGGCCGAUACUGACGCUGAGGAGCGAAAGCGUGGGGAGCGAA
rnacentral:rRNA from 1 species